rnacentral:rRNA from 1 species
GACAGAGGUGCCAAGCGUUAGGCGGAAUCACUGGGCUUAAAGCGUGUGUAGGCGGGUGCCUAAGUACCUCGUGAAAUCCCCCGGCUCAACCGGGGAACGGCUGGGUAUACUGGGUGCCUUGGGUCAUCUAGGGGCUGCCGGAACAAAUGGUGGAGCGGUGAAAUGCGUAGAUAUCAUUUGGAACGCCAACGGCGAAAGCAGGCAGCUGGGGAUGCACCGACGCUGAGACACGAAAGCCAGGGGAGCGAACGGG